rnacentral:rRNA from 1 species
UGGGGAAUUUUGGACAAUGGGCGCAAGCCUGAUCCAGCCAUGCCGCGUGCGGGAAGAAGGCCUUCGGGUUGUAAACCGCUUUUGUCAGGGAAGAAAUCUUCUGAGUUAAUACCUCGGGAGGAUGACGGUACCUGAAGAAUAAGCACCGGCUAACUACGUGCCAGCAGCCGCGGUAAUACGUAGGGUGCAAGCGUUAAUCGGAAUUACUGGGCGUAAAGCGUGCGCAGGCGGUUUUGUAAGACAGAGGUGAAAUCCCCGGGCUCAACCUGGGAACUGCCUUUGUGACUGCAAGGCUUGAGUGCGGCAGAGGGGGAUGGAAUUCCGCGUGUAGCAGUGAAAUGCGUAGAUAUGCGGAGGAACACCGAUGGCGAAGGCAAUCCCCUGGGCCUGCACUGACGCUCAUGCACGAAAGCGUGGGGAGCAAACAGGAUUAGAUACCCUGGUAGUCCACGCCCUAAACGAUGUCAACUAGUUGUUGGGGAUUCAUUUCCUUAGUAACGUAGCUAACGCGUGAAGUUGACCGCCUGGGGAGUACGGCCGCAAGAUUAAAAGCUCAAAUGAAUUGACGGGGUCAUAGCUGUUUUCCUG